rnacentral:rRNA from 1 species
AGUGAACGCUGGCGGUAGGCCUAACACAUGCAAGUCGAACGGCAGCACAGUAAGAGCUUGCUCUUACGGGUGGCGAGUGGCGGACGGGUGAGGAAUACAUCGGAAUCUACUUUUUCGUGGGGGAUAACGUAGGGAAACUUACGCUAAUACCGCAUACGACCUACGGGUGAAAGCAGGGGAUCUUCGGACCUUGCGCGAUUGAAUGAGCCGAUGUCGGAUUAGCUAGUUGGCGGGGUAAAGGCCCACCAAGGCGACGAUCCGUAGCUGGUCUGAGAGGAUGAUCGGCCACACUGGGACUGAGACACGGUCCAGACUCCUACGGGAGGCAGCAGUGGGGAAUAUUGGACAAUGGGCGCAAGCCUGAUCCAGCCAUACCGCGUGGGUGAAGAAGGCCUUCGGGUUGUAAAGCCCUUUUGUUGGGAAAGAAAAGCAGCAGGUUAAUACCCCGCUGUUCUGACGGUACCCAAAGAAUAAGCACCGGCUAACUUCGUG